UAUUCGUCAAUGGACGCGAGUCUGAACCAGCCAAGCAGCGUGAAGGAUGACUGCCCUAUGGGUGGUAAACUUCUUUUAUAUGGGAAUAAAGUUUUCCACGCGUGGAAUUUUGUAUGUAUCAUAUGAAUAAGGAUCGGCUAACUCCGUCCCAGCAGCCGCGGUAAUACGGAGGAUCCGAGCGUUAUCCGGAUUUAUCGGGUUUAAAGGGAGCGUAGGUGGAUUGCUAAGUCAGUUGUGAAAGUUUGCGGCUCAACCGUAAAAUUGCAGUUGAAACUGGCAGUCUUGAGUACAGUAGAGGUGGGCGGAAUUCGUGGUGUAGCGGUGAAAUGCUUAGAUAUCACGAAGAACUCCGAUUGCGAAGGCAGCUCACUGGACUGUUGACUGACACUGAGGCUCGAAAGUGUGGGUAUCAAACAG
rnacentral:rRNA from 1 species